rnacentral:rRNA from 1 species
AACCGGCAUGGCGGCGUGCCUACACAUGCAGUCGAACGAGAAAGGGGAGCAAUCCCUGAGUAAAGUGGCGCACGGGUGAGUAACACGUGACUAACCUACCCUUGAGUGGGGGAUAACUGAGGGAAACCUUAGCUAAUACCGCAUAAUACCUACGGGUCAAAGGAGCAAUUCGCUCGAGGAGGGGGUCGCGGCCGAUUAGUUAGUUGGCGGGGUAAUGGCCCACCAAGACGAUGAUCGGUAUCCGGCCUGAGAGGGCGCACGGACACACUGGAACUGAAACACGGUCCAGACUCCUACGGGAGGCAGCAGUGGGGGAUUUUGCGCAAUGGGGGAAACCCUGACGCAGCAACGCCGCGUGGAGGAUGAAGUACUUCGGUACGUAAACUCCUUUCGAUCGGGACGAUAAUGACGGUACCGGAAGAAGAAGCCCCGGCUAACUUCGUGCCAGCAGCCGCGGUAAUACGAGGGGGGCGAGCGUUGUUCGGAAUUAUUGGGCGUAAAGGGUGCGUAGGCGGUUUGGUAAGUCUUGUGUGAAAUCUAUGGGCUCAACUCAUAGACUGCACGAGAAACUGCCGGGCUUGAGUAUGGGAGAGGUGAGUGGAAUUCCUGGUG